GUGGGGAAUAUUGCACAAUGGGCGAAAGCCUGAUGCAGCAACGCCGCGUGAGCGAUGAAGGCCUUUGGGUCGUAAAGCUCUGUCCUAGGGGAAGAAUAAAUGACGGUACCCUUGGAGGAAGCCCCGGCUAACUACGUGCCAGCAGCCGCGGUAAUACGUAGGGGGCAAGCGUUAUCCGGAAUUAUUGGGCGUAAAGAGUGCGUAGGUGGUUUUGUAAGCGCGGGGUGAAAGGCAAUAGCUCAACUAUUGUAAGCCCUGCGAACUGUGAGACUUGAGUGCAGGAGAGGAAAGCGGAAUUCCUAGUGUAGCGGUGAAAUGCGUAGAUAUUAGGAGGAACACCAGUGGCGAAGGCGGCUUUCUGGACUGUAACUGACACUGAGGCACGAAAGCGUGGGGAGCAAACAGG
rnacentral:rRNA from 1 species